UACGUAGGGGGCAAGCGUUGUCCGGAAUCAUUGGGCGUAAAGAGCGUGUAGGCGGCCCGGUAAGUCCGCUGUGAAAGUCGGGGGCUCAACCCUCGAAUGCCGGUGGAAACUGUCGGGCUAGAGUGCGGAAGAGGCGAGUGGAAUUCCUGGUGUAGCGGUGAAAUGCGCAGAUAUCAGGAGGAACACCGAUUGCGAAGGCAGCUCGCUGGGACGUAACUGACGCUGAGACGCGAAAGCGUGGGGAGCAAACAGG
rnacentral:rRNA from 1 species